GUUAUUUUCCUAUUUCUCCUCUCCAUUUGCAGAGUAAAUGAUAUCUUUAGUAUUUAUAAUCUCUUUUCAAUUAAAAAAGAAAAUGGAAAAAGAAAAAGAAAAUCUGGGACACAAAGUUUGAGUCUAUUAAUAAAGACACAACAAAAGAGGGUCUUAAAUGGGAACUGCUCCCUUCCCGGGAAACUUAGAAUUUCUAACACUGUACUCAGAGGUUCACAUUAUAAUUAUGGCUGAGAAAGGGGAAGCAUACAAAAGGGUCUCUUCUUGAAUAAUGCCUCCAGGAGCUCAAUUACUAAAAUCUUGUCAAUAAACACAUAUCCAUUCUAGUAUCUUCACUUCAAUCCAUAAUUAAUUAUCUUUUUCAUGUCUCAUCUACUGGAAGCAUAAGUGAAAGCAUAACACUUUAAUCUGGAUGAGUAGUGGCAUAAUAUUAGGAAAUUUUCAAAUAAUUAUGCAAUUAAAACCACACGAAUGUACUAACUAGUAGGAUAAAUCCCUAUAUUCUGCAUUUCUAAGAUUAAAAAGGUGAUACUAAAAAUAUCUUCACAUUUAUACUUCUUAUUUUUAGAAAGAAAAAAUUAAGUUUAUUUGAUGUGCAGUUUGAGAGAACUUUUUAAAAAGAACUUUCUAAAACGAACUUUCGGAUUGCUUCCGUAAAUUUAAUAGUAAAACAAUUCCAAACGAAAAUUCCAAACACAACUGACAGAACUAAGCUGACUACAUAGGAAUUAGCAAAGCAACACUGUAGCACUACGCAGAAAAAAUAAUUUGUUAAAAAGACUGCACAGAGGACAUCCCAUGCUGGUAGCUACUCUAAAGUGAACUAAAAAGAACUGCAAACAUACAAAAAUACAAAAAAAAAAAAAAAGAAUGAAAGACUCUGUAUAUCAACAGCAGUGAAUGUUUCAACUACUACUAACAGCUGAAGAAACAGCUCCACCUCUAUAUGAGAUGGAGUUGGGAGAGAUGAGGAGAUGGGAAGACUAACAUCCACUGAAAAUCAACUCUCUAAGUAAAUGUUCAGGGAGUACAUGUACAGGUUUGUUCCAUGGAUAUAUUGUGUGAUGCUGAUGUUUGGGAUUAUAUUGAACCCAUCACCAAAUAGUGAACACAGUACCACGACAAUGGCUUCCAGCUGCAUCCAUGUUGCUGUAAAGGACAUAAUUUUGUUCUUUUUUAUGACUGUGUAGUAUUCCAUGGAUAACAGAUUUUAGAAUUUUGAAGCUAGAAGGAAUCUUAAAGAACUGAUUCAACUUUCUUAUUUUGAAGAUAGGAAAACAGGAGAGAGGAGAGGCCAAAGUGAUUUUCUGACUCUGGCCAACAUUCGUAGCAUUACAUUUACCUAAGCGUUUAUCAUUUAAAUUAUUCCCUGAUUCAGACAGGCUAGCUCUGUAUUUAAUUUGAAUUCAUGGGCCUUUCUCUGUGACAAUCACCCUUUCAGUGAAGAGAUAUUGCAAGAAAUAAAGCCAACAACCUACCACACCAGUGUUUGGACGCAAAGUUCCUGUUCAGGUCUGUUCCGAUGCAACGAUUGUUCGCAUAGAAAGAACGGUUCUUUCUCCACAUUCGAUUCUACAUAAACAAAAUACAGACAACCUGGGUGGCCACGUUCAGGGCCCAAGGAAAAACACGCAUGUGAAAGUCCAUGAAACCAGAGUUGCCUUUCUCUCCUUCAACCCCAUACCUUGCAUGGCUUCAUCACAUUGCUGUCGUUGUAAUAUUCCUUUGCAUGGCCCCUAUUGCUAUCCGGGUUUCAAUCACAUCCACUCAGACUAUUUUAGUUGAACCAAACAAAAUGGUAAUAUUUGAUCAAUUUUGACUGAUAAAAAUAAAGAUUUCAUUUCAUUCCA